GCGUCGGUGGUAUAACGGUUAGCAUAGCUGCCUUCCAAGCAGUUGACCCGGGUUCGACUCCAGGCCGACGCA
rnacentral:tRNA from 1 species